rnacentral:rRNA from 1 species
GGAGUUCACUCCAACCCCUGUGACAUACCUAUACGUUGCCUCGGCGGAUCAGCCCGCGCCCCGUAAAACGGGACGGCCCGCCCGAGGACCCUAAACUCUGUUUUUAGUGGAACUUCUGAGUAAAACAAACAAAUAAAUCAAAACUUUCAACAACGGAUCUCUUGGUUCUGGCAUCGAUGAAGAACGCAGCAAAAUGCGAUAAGUAAUGUGAAUUGCAGAAUUCAGUGAAUCAUCGAAUCUUUGAACGCACAUUGCGCCCGCCAGUAUUCUGGCGGGCAUGCCUGUUCGAGCGUCAUUUCAACCCUCAAGCUCAGCUUGGUGUUGGGACUCGCGGUAACCCGCGUUCCCCAAAUCGAUUGGCGGUCACGUCGAGCUUCCAUAGCGUAGUAAUCAUACACCUCGUUACUGGUAAUCGUCGCGGCCACGCCGUAAAACCCCAACUUCUGAAUGUUGACCUCGGAUCAGGUAGGAAUACCCGCUGAACUUAAGCAUAUCAAAA